UACGUAGGUCCCGAGCGUUGUCCGGAUUUAUUGGGCGUAAAGCGAGCGCAGGUGGUUUAUUAAGUCUGGUGUAAAAGGCAGUGGCUCAACCAUUGUAUGCAUUGGAAACUGGUAGACUUGAGUGCAGGAGAGGAGAGUAGAAUUCCAUGUGUAGCGGUGAAAUGCGUAGAUAUUAGGAGGAACACCGGUGGCGAAGGCGGCUUACUGGACAGAAACUGACACUGAGGCUCGAAAGCGUGGGGAGCAAACAGG
rnacentral:rRNA from 1 species